GCGUGUUUGUCCGUAGAACAUACCCAGCCGUCUAGUAGAGCCUUAAAUACACGAAGUUCACAGUGUUUAAUAUAUGUGUAGUUCGCAAACAGUCGGAUCAAAAGUCGGGCUAUUUUCUCAUAUGGGAAAUGUGUGUAUACGUGACGCCUAAGGUAACCGCCCACGGAGACGACGAAGGUCAAGCGAAGUCUCUUCUUGCUGCGACAGAUUACGAGAAGAAAUCCCCCGAAGAUAUACACACGGCAAUUACGUAAGAAAAUUUGAAAGAGAGAUACGUGACUGAGGAAACAAGUUUAGAGUGAAGUUACAAAUAUUUAUCGAAACGUACAAGAAAGUACCUGACUUCGGCGACAGCACGAAAUACGUACACAAUUGUGUAUGCAGAGUGCAGAUAUUGCAUCGAAAGAAAUUUCACCGUCAUUAUUCUCGAUGACGUAUUUUCAUCCUCUCGUGGGAUUUAUUUCCGGCAACAAAAGGUUAGACGAAAAUACCUCUCGUUACUCUCUUUUGUUCCUGCGACUAUUGGGUAUUUUCCGUCGAGUAGCUGUGCACUUUACGGCGUGAAUUUAAGCGCGAAAACGACGGCACUUGUCCCAACGGGAAAGGAUUCCAAUUAUUCAAACGAACAACCACGACGAACAAAACUCAACAUUACUUGGUAUCUAUCCACCCUCAGCAAGAGCUGACGCCGCCUAUCGAAUUAUAUCGUUACGCUUCAAUUGGCUCAAUUUCUGUCACCCAGUACCCCUAAAGCCGUUACACCAUCACCUGGGGGAUGUACCGAAUCCGGAUAAGACUAACGAAAAUCGUAAACAAACGAAUCAGCCUCACCCACCGAUAUAGCUGGAUGAGCCAACUCCUGUUGGACCGAGUCGUCAACCCUUCUGCUCCAAAAAUUCGGUCGUCGUGACCCAGGUCAAAGCAGUCUUCCGACAUGAGACAAGACGUCGUCGCAGGAGCACGAUAAAUCGAAAGAGACACAGCGAGGAGCUAUGAAGAAUAAAUUUAAUCGUAACUCAGCGUGAAAUAAACAAACAACAAGUAUUCGAGUUAAGAGCUUACAUACGUUGGAUAAAGAUGAGAUAUUUACUAUGGCGCCGUCAGCCUCUAGAUUAACGUUCGUACACUAAUGGUGGAUCGUUUAUUAUCAGCCCUGGGAUUACAUGGAAUUAUUACCACUUCCAGCAUCGAGUCUCGAUAAACAAAUUGGAGGAUUUAUUGGCGCGACCACUGAUUUACCGUCGGUCAAAUAACGCGAUACGUUCGGAUAUAAUUUAUACGUUUAACGCGCUAGGAAACCAUUUUGCGAUUUAUAUAUACGUAACUGGGCUGGGUGAAACGUAGAGUCGUGCUGGUUAAUCGAACGAUUUGAUUCCUUGGGCUGAAAUUUUUCCUUUGUCAAAAAAAUUCGACUACAAUUCAACACGACUAAACCACUUGAAGUUACCUUCGAACAGAGAGAAGUUGUCUUGCUUCGGCUUUCAAGUGGGCUUAAGUUACGAGUGUGUAAAAGCUUCGUGGCGAGCAAUCGAUUCUAAAGUGUCGGAAAGGUUUAAAGUGGCGAUACAAGUGUCUCCUUAAAAAUCUAAUCACGACAGUUUUUCCCGGUUUUCAUAAGCAGAUUAGCUAGGCGUUAAAUCAUUUUUAUAAUCAUUCUGUAUGCAUACAAUCAUGCAUAUGCAGACACAAUUGUAUAUUCAAUUUUCUAUUGACAUAUAUACAUAUGAUUACAUAUGUAGAUAAAGCAUACGUAUAAGAUACAUCACAAUUUGGAACAAGGUGAAUUUUGAAUUUCAUUAUAUUCUUUUGCAAUUUUUAAGUGUAAACGAUAGAAGAGGAAUAAUUUCUUUCUAUAUGGAUUCUUAUCGGUAAUUCUUAAAACAUCCCAAGAGCCAAUACGAUUUUCUACAAUUCUUCAGCGUUAUAUUUUAGUUUGAACGAGUGGCAAAUACGAGGAUGGAUUAAUCGUAAAAAGUAACUGGAAAUAUUACUAGAACUAUCUAGUUACGUUAUAAAAAUGUUGCUCUUCGUGGCGGCAGACCUGUCGCGAAAACUUUUACUCGUGGCUCGAUCUAGCGGAUUUGCGUCGUAACAACUCGUAACAGUAAAUUGGAAGCGAUAGGAUCGAGACGGACGUGACAGUCGUACCGACGACCGUAAGUCUAGUCUCCCUCAAGUAAACGACGACGUCUUCGUCGUCAUCGUCAACGCGUUCCACGAUCCUAACAAACACAACCCAACAUAACAUAACCUCCAAGAUCUGGUUACGAGGAUCGAGAAAAGGCUCGACGAAUCGAUACCAAACGACAAUCGGAUUGAUGCUAUUCGCUUUGACUGUUUCUAGCUGAAACUUACACCAGCAGAACACGUGCUACUGUCCAAUACGUCUAUGCCCUGUAUUACGUCCCAUGUAUUACAACUGGAAUGACGUUUCUUCUGCACUCGGCGUUCUCCGAAGAAGAAUCCUCUGAGGAACCUCAUG